AUUCACGUGGUCACCUGCAGCUGGACACCGAAGAUGAUUUGUUUCCUCUUUCAGCCCGAGUCUGCUGCUUCAGCCAUACCCCAUUCCUUGUGAGCCGCUGGACAGCCCACAACAGUUUGGUGCCUGAACAGGGACCUGAAGAAUGGCAGAAGGACGCUGAGAGGACGCUGUCCGUGUGGAGCUCCACGGGAAAGUAAAGGGUCUUUUGUAUUGGGCAUGGGAGCAACAAACAGCCUGAGUCUGCCACUUCAGCCAUACCCUGUUCCUUGCAAGCCAUUGGAUGCCCUGUGACUGCUAUUUCUGCUUUUAAUGUGUCCUGCAUUCCUGAUGUUGAGGAUCCAUAAGAACAGAAAGCAUCUCUUGACUACUCAGUCUCCCGCAUUCAUCAGUAUGGCUGAAAAGACCGACUUCUUCCCUGCUCUAGCUGCAGAAGUCUAGUCUAUCAAUCUAGGCUAGCCUGAAAUGAAAUCCUGCUGAUGAAGACUUUCUUCAUUUCUUCUAUUGUUCCCAAUAUCCUCACUACCUGCUGUUGGGUUCCCCUUCCCUCCCAAGGGGUAAGUUAAGUUGGGAGGAAAGCAGUGGAAUAGGUAUCAGGGGAAGAGGUACUUCAGUCUUGCCUUGGACAAACCUGAAUCUAGAUAUUUCAAAAUCCCCCACAUUUAAGAAAGUCCAUCCAUAGCUUGUAAGAGCACAAAGUCGAACAUACAUUGUGUGAGACAUGUCCCAGGAAAAUAAAACAUGCCUGGGGAAUGUCGGACCUCAAUAGGAUUCUUAAGAGAAAUCAAAUAUGUCUGCCCCAUUAUCUGUGUAUUGUUUGUAAGCUCCAAAUGCUUGGUCGAGGA